UUUACAAGAGGUUUUAAUAGCUGGGUUAACAAGAGGUUUUAAUGGCUGGGUUCAAGAGAGGUUUUAAUAGCUGGGUUCAAGAGAGGUUUUAAUAGCUGGGUUCAAGAGAGGUUUUAAUAGCUGGGUUCAAGAGAGGUUUUAAUAGCUGGGUUCAAGAGAGGUUUUAAUAGCUGGGUUCAAGAGAGGUUUUAAUAGCUGGGUUCAAGAGAGGUUUUAAUAGCUGGGUUCAAGAGAGGUUUUAAUAGCUGGGUUCAAGAGAGGUUUUACUGGCUGGGUUUACAAGAGGUUUUAAUAGCUGGGUUCAAGAGAGGUUUUAAUAGCUGGGUUCAAGAGAGGUUUUAAUGGCUGGGUUCAAGAGAGGUUUUAAUGGCUGGGUUCAAGAGAGGUUUUAAUGGCUGGGUUCAAGAGAGGUUUUAAUAGCUGGGUUCAAGAGAGGUUUUAAUAGCUGGGUUCAAGAGAGGUUUUAAUAGCUGGGUUCAAGAGAGGUUUUAAUAGCUGGGUUCAAGAGAGGUUUUAAUAGCUGGGUUCAAGAGAGGUUUUAAUAGCUGGGUUUACAAGAGGUUUUAAUAGCUGGGUUUACAAGAGGUUUUAAUAGCUGGGUUCAAGAGAGGUUUUAAUGGCUGGGUUUACAAGAUGUUUUAAUAGCUGGGUUCAAGAGAGGUUUUACUAGCUGGGUUCAAGAGAGGUUUUACUGGCUGGGUUUACAAGAGGUUUUAAUAGCUGGGUUCAAGAGAGGUUUUAAUGGCUGGGUUUACAAGAUGUUUUAAUAGCUGGGUUCAAGAGAGGUUUUAAUGGCUGGGUUUACAAGAGGUUUUAAUAGCUGGGUUCAAGAGAGGUUUUAAUAGCUGGGUUCAAGAGAGGUUUUAAUAGCUGGGUUCAAGAGAGGUUUUAAUAGCUGGGUUCAAGAGAGGUUUUAAUAGCUGGGUUCAAGAGAGGUUUUACUGGCUGGGUUCAAGAGAGGUUUUAAUAGCUGGGUUCAAGAGAGGUUUUAAUAGCUGGGUUUACAAGAGGUUUUAAUAGCUGGGUUCAAGAGAGGUUUUAAUGGCUGGGUUCAAGAGAGGUUUUAAUAUCUGGGUUUACAAGAGGUUUUAAUAGCUGGGUUCAAGAGAGGUUUUAAUAUCUGGGUUUACAAGAGGUUUUAAUGGCUGGGUUCAAGAGAGGUUUUAAUAUCUGGGUUUACAAGAGGUUUUAAUGGCUGGGUUCAAGAGAGGUUUUAAUAUCUGGGUUUACAAGAGGUUUUAAUAGCUGGGUUUACAAGAAGUUUUAAUGGAUGGGUUCAAGAGAGGUUUUAAUGGCUGGGUUUACAAGAUGUUUUAAUAGCUGGGUUCAAGAGAGGUUUUAAUAGCUGGGUUCAAGAGAGGUUUUAAUAGCUGGGUUCAAGAGAGGUUUUAAUGGCUGGGUUUACAAGAUGUUUUAAUAGCUGGGUUCAAGAGAAGUUUUAAUGGCUGGGUUCACAAGAGGUUUUAAUAGCUGGGUUCAAGAGAGGUUUUAAUAGCUGGGUUUACAAGAGGUUUUAAUAGCUGGGUUCAAGAGAGGUUUUAAUGGUACAUAUCUACUGAAUGUUGCAAUGUUACAUAUCUUGACAUGCUCUCAGGGUAAGGAGU